GCGGUCGUGGCGGAACGGUAUACGCGCUAGCUUGAGGUGCUAGUGGAAGCAAUUCCUUGAGAGUUCAAAUCUCUCCGACCGCA
rfam:Gloeobacter kilaueensis JS1, complete genome.